CAAAUGUCAGCCGGAAAUAAGCCUGAAUAUGCACUGGUUUACCUGAUUGUGAUUGAUUUCGAAGCCACGUGCUAUGAGAACAAACAGGCUGGUACAUCUGAGCAAGAAAUUAUAGAAUUCUCAGUAUCAUCGUUGUAUAUGCAAUCGGUGUGUUGUGGAUUUGUUUGUUAUUACCGACCCGUGAAGCACCGAAUUCUAUCAGGCUUUUAUUUUGUGUUUCUUCGAUUUUCUGCACCCGAAUGAUCACGUUUGCAUUGAGCAAGCACUUCCGUUCCUUUCAUGCGAGAUAUUUUCACGUUUUCACACGCACUUCGCUCCCACCAAACGGAAAACUGAUUGAAAUACGAUGCGCUGCCAAGUGUUUUCGAAGUCAUUACGGAUUCCGCUUGCUCACAAACAAAUGCGGUACUUCACGCAGACAGCCCCGAAAUUAUACUGUCAAGUUCUGAAACGAGACCUUCUUGUCCGCUGUGGCGUUGCGGCGGAGCAGCCGGGAUCUGCUUGCACUUCUACGACAGCGCCCUUUAUGGACGCUACGGCACGAUGAUCUGCAUGUGCCGAGCGGCAGUCGUGAAUUUAAUUAUCCAUAGAUUUUUCCCGCAGCCGCUCCGGAAGGCCUGUUAGAAUGCAAUAUUUCCUGAUUUUUUCACUGUUUAUGAUGAGAAGCCGCUGU